ensembl:lincRNA uncharacterized LOC102017493
CAGGAAGUUUAUUUUGAGACUAGAGAAAGAACCCGGAAGUUGGGUUUGAAGGGACACAUUGUCAUUUUUUGGAUCAAAUGCCAUUUUGGAUUACUACCAUGAUAGCCCUGGCAGAACUUCACACAGACAAAAACGACUCCCUGGAAUGGGCGCUCAGCCUGAAGGUCAGAGAGGAUGACUCACUGCUGACGUUGGAAGGCCCAUCUGAAACCCACUGCCGUCACACGCAGAGGCUGUGCACAGCCGAGACAGAGGAUACUGCAGCCUACCACCGGGACAGAAAGAACGCUAGAGAGAUGUCUGCUUUACAAAAAGCCCUGCAGCGUCCUGAGCCAGUUCCCCGCUCUAGAUGGUUGUUCCUAUUAUUACUCAGCUCCUGGGUUUUCUUUCUCUAUUUCCACCUGAUUACGUGUCAGGUGAUUGUCAGUCAUAAGACAGUUUGGUCACAUGAUAAGAUGGUCUGUGAUACCUGAAUACUUCCUCCCUCCCAUCAAAGUUGCACCAAUAAACAGAACAAUUUUGGUGAAAAUCUUAGAGUUUGACAACUUCUAUCUCAGGUAUUAUUCUGUCUUUUCUGGAGGAAAAGCGCAUGAGCACACACACACGCACACAGCCUGUUAGAGGUAAGCCAAAGAAGG